rnacentral:siRNA from 1 species
GAGGUGGCAAAUUUAGUGUUG